rnacentral:rRNA from 1 species
GAUGAACGCUGGCGGCGUGCCUAAUACAUGCAAGUCGAGCGAAUGGAUUAAGAGCUUGCUCUUAUGAAGUUAGCGGCGGACGGGUGAGUAACACGUGGGUAACCUGCCCAUAAGACUGGGAUAACUCCGGGAAACCGGGGCUAAUACCGGAUAACAUUUUGAACCGCAUGGUUCGACAUUGAAAGGCGGCUUCGGCUUGCACUUAUGGAUGGCCCCGCGUCGCAUUAGCUAGUUGGUGAGGUAACGGCUCACCAAGGCAACGAUGCGUAGCCGACCUGAGAGGGUGAUCGGCCACACUGGGACUGAGACACGGCCCAGACUCCUACGGGAGGCAGCAGUAGGGAAUCUUCCGCAAUGGACGAAAGUCUGACGGAGCAACGCCGCGUGAGUGAUGAAGGCUUUCGGGUCGUAAAACUCUGUUGUUAGGGAAGAACAAGUGCUAGUUGAAUAAGCUGGCACCUUGACGGUACCUAACCAGAAAGCCACGGCUAACUACGUGCCAGCCGCCGCGGUAA